rnacentral:rRNA from 1 species
CCCUUAGAUGUCCGGGGCCGCACGCGCGCUACACUGAAGGAAUCAGCGUGGCUUUCUCCCUGACCCGAAAGGGUUGGGAAACCCGUUGAAUCUCCUUCGUGAUAGGGAUUGGGGCUUGAAAUUGUUCCCCAUGAACGAGGAAUUCCCAGUAAGCGCGAGUCAUAAGCUCGCGUUGAUUACGUCCCUGCCCUUUGUACACACCGCCCGUCGCACCUACCGAUUGAACGUUCCGGUGAGACCUUGGGAUUUGGUCUUUGAUACUUUAUUGUGUCGUUGACCGAAAAACUUGAGCAAACCUUAACGUUUAGAGGAAGGUGAAGUCGUAACA